UACGUAGGGUCCAAGCGUUAUCCGGAAUCACUGGGCGUAAAGCGUGCGUAGGCGGCGUGUUAAGUGUGAUGUUAAAUCGUGUGGCUCAACCAUAUCGAUGCAUCACAUACUGGCAUGCUAGAGGAAGGCAGAGGCAAGUGGAAUUUGUAGUGUAGCAGUGAAAUGCGCAGAUAUUACAAGGAACACCAAUGGCGAAGGCAGCUUGCUGGGCCUUUUCUGACGCUGAGGUACGAAAGCGUGGGGAGCGAACAGG
rnacentral:rRNA from 1 species